GGUCCCUCCCAUUUUCCGGUAUUCAAGUUAAUCGGGAAAAUGGGUGGGAUACACGAGCGGCGGACGGGUGAGUAACACGUAGGAACGUACCCCAAACUGAGGGAUAAGCACCAGAAAUGGUGUCUAAUACCGCAUGUGGCCUUCGGGCUAAAGCUCCGGCGGUUUGGGAACGGCCUGCGCAUGAUUAGCUUGUUGGUGAGGUAAUAGCUCACCAAGGCGAUGAUCAUUAGCUGGUCUGAGAGGAUGACCAGCCACACUGGGACUGAGAUACGGCCCAGACUCCUACGGGAGGCAGCAGUCGGGAAUUUUCCACAAUGGGCGAAAGCCUGAUGGAGCAACGCCGCGUGCAGGAUGAAUGCCUUCGGGUUGUAAACUGCUUUUAUAUGUGACGAAUAUGACGGUAGCAUAUGAAUAAGGAUCGGCUAACUCCGUGCCAGCAGCCGCGGUCAUACGGAGGAUCCAAGCGUUAUCCGGAAUUACUGGGCGUAAAGAGUUGCGUAGGUGGCAUUGUAAGUUGGUAGUGAAAGCGUGCGGCUCAACCGCAUACACAUUACCAAAACUGCAAAGCUAGAGGACGAGAGAGGUUAUUAGAAUUCCUAGUGUAGCGGUGGAAUGCGUAGAUAUUAGGAGGAAUACCGAUGGCGUAGGCAGAUAACUGGCUCGUUCCUGACACUAAGGCACGAAAGCGUGGGGAGCAAACGGGAUUAGAUACCCCGGUAGUCCACGCCGUAAACUAUAGAUGCUAGCUGUUAUCGGUAUCGACCCCGGUAGUAGCGAAGCUAACGCGUUAAGCAUCCCGCCUGUGGAGUACGGUCGCAAGACUAAAACAU
rnacentral:rRNA from 1 species